AGUCCGCGGCUUGUGUGCCGCGAGGAGAGGCGCAAAGGGUGACACACCAGGAAAGCAGGUAGCAGGCAAGAGUGUGGUUAUCGUUGGACCAGGAUUCAGGAUCUGACUGAGUAGCUGACUCUUAAUCCAGUUUGUGUUGAUCACCAGGAGGAUCUGGACCUCAGUAUUACCACAUCUAGAGGUGAUAUGCCAACUCCACCUUUGCCUUCCACCAUGUUUGGAAGCUCCCUGAGGCCUCACCAGGAGCAGAUGCUCGUCCCAUGCUUCCUAUAAGCCUGCAGAACUGUGAGCCAUAAUAAACUGUGAAUUAUAAAUUGCCUUUAUAGCAAUGCAAAUGGACCAGUACAGAUGGGAUGCUGGGAAGACAGUUGUUUCCACCUUCAGUAAAGUCCGUGGAACACAGUUGUGACUAUAUUCUAGGCCAGCCAAGAUGCUUGUACUCAGAAAGGAGUGGUCUCAGGACCAUAAGAAAGUGAAAAAAUAAAAAUAAGAAAAUAAAGAAGGGAUUGUCAAUGAAUCAGAAUUCAUCAAGGUCAAAGUCUUAGGAAAUUCCUUCAUGAGGAAGUCUAGGGGGGCUAUGGAAAUGAAAUUUUUAAACAAAUAGGUAUGUGGUGCUGGCAGGAAUAAAUUAUGGACUUAUGAAUAUAACAUAAGAUUCUUUAUUACCUGGUCUCACCCGUCUUUCCACCUCUGCCCCCCUUCUUGCCCGACUCUGUGUAUCACCCAUAAUAAACUACUUACAGCUUCCUAGUGUUAAAUUUACCCUAAAGCUGCCUCCUUCAAUAUUUUAAGUUUAACCUAAAGGUUCUUCAUACAUAGUGAACUAUAACCCAAUGAUUAAACAGAUUGUAACCUACUCUUGUACCAGUCACCAAGUUUCAGCCAAUCAGAGGUGGCCAACUGUUCAAACCAUGCUCAAAUAAGGGAAAUGUCAUGGUGUAACUAAUCCAGCUGUUUCUAUACCUUACUUCUGUUUUCUUAGGUCACUUUCCUUUUUUGUCCAUAAAUUCUCUCCAACCACUCAGCAGCACUGGAGUCACUCCAAAGCUAUCCUGGUUCAGGGGUCUGUCUGAUUCACAAGUCAUUCUUUGUUCAAUUGAGCUCUGCUAAAUUUAAUUUGUCUGAAGUUUUUCUUUUAACAGAUGGUGUCAGAAAUGGACCCCAAAGUAGAGCUCCCAGUGAUCCCCCAGGAGCACUGAGUGACCACAAGGGGUACCUGCUGGGCCCGUCCUCUCGCAGUGUCCACUGCUCUCUUACAGCAACUGGAGAUUGUGGCUGCAUUCUCUCUCAGAUUCUGAAGCUCCAUACAUUGCCGUUUUCAGCUGUUCAAGCUUGCUUGAGCAAAUUUUUGAUCUUAGCUGAGUUUGGAAGUCGAUAGACAUUGGACUGGGUCCAGGAUUUGAUUGGAUCUGAUAAUUAACUGGCUUGGAUCCAGUUAGAUGCCUCGGUUAUCUGACUGGGUCAGAUAGAAACCGCCAGUAAAUAUUUUAAUAACAAUACUGCAGGGGUAUGAACUCUGGCUUUAAGAAACUCACAAGGAAUUUUAUGUUCUAUACCCUUUGUUUCUUUUUCUUGUGUGCUUCGGUCAGGAAAAAUCAUUAGUCAAGUUAAUCAAGGGGAUCUGAGAGCCAAAUACAAGAUUCAACGUAAAAAUGGAAUCCUUGGGCUAGGCGUGGUGGCUCAGGCCUGUAAUCCCAGGACUUUGGGAGGCUGAGGCAGGCGGAUCACCUGACCUUAGGAGUUCGAGACCAGUCUGGCCAACAUGGUGAAACCCCGUCUCCACUAAAAAUACAAAAAUUAGCCAGGCGUGGUGGUGGGCACCUGUAAUCCCAGCUACUUUGGAGGCUGAGGCAGGAUAAUCACUUGAACCCAGGAGGCAGAGGUUGCAGUGAUCUGAGAUUGCACCACUGCACUCCAGCCUGGGCAAAAGAGCGAGACUCCAUCUCAUAAAUAAAUACAUAAAUAAAUAAAGAAAUCCUUAAUUUCUGCGGAACUGAGUGCUCUACCUUCUGGCUACACCUACGUAUACCUGUAUGAGGUAUAGGCCCUGGAAGCAGCAAACACUUACAGAAAUGGUGAAAUCUUACUAAAGGUAAUCUAAAGUUAUGGUGGAACAUCCCAAAUGAACAACACUGCACUUUAGGAAGUACAUAUAAAAAUGAAGUCUCCCAAUUUAGUAUUAUUCAGGGAUGGCUGUUGAAGUUCAGAAGCUUCUAAAAAGAUUCCAAUAAUUUUACAGAUUCUUUUAAAAGAUUCUUUGUAAAAGGCAAAUAAAAAGCUUAAGUGACUAAUCAGAAAAAUUAGGUCUUCUAACCUUUUGUCAUUGUUACUGUCUUGCCCUGAAAGGGAAAAGAAAGCUGGAUAAAGUAUUUAUAGAAGAUAGAGGACCUGUGGUGGCUCAUGCCUGUAAUCCAAGGUGGAAGGAUUGCUUGAGGCCAGAAGUUCAAGACCAGUCCAAGCAACAUAGCAAGGCCCCAUCUCUACAAAAAAUGAAAAUAAAAUUAGCCGAGCGUGAUGGCUCAUGCCUGUAGUUCUAGCUUCUAGAGAGGCUGAGGCAGGAGGAUUGCUUGAGUCCAGGAGUUCAAGAUUACAGUGAGCUAUGGUCACACCACUGCACUCCAGCCUGGGUGAUGGAGUGAGACUGUCUCAAUAAAAAGACAAAAAGGUAAGCCCUUAGGUAAAGUAAGCUUGCUUCUUUGUUAGAGCUAUCCAUGCUGAGUCCAGGCAAAGAAAAUGCUUUCUUUGGCCUGGUGCGGUGGCUCAUGCCUGUAAUCCCAACACUUUUGGAGGCCAAGGUGGGCAGAUCACAAGGUCAAGAGUUCAAGAUGAGCCUGACCAACAUGGUGAAGCCCCAUCUCUACUAAAAAUACAAAAAUUAGCCAGGUGUGGUGGUGCGCACCUGUAAUCCCAGCUAUUCAGGAGGCUGAGGCAAGAGAAUCACUUGAACCCAGGAGGCAGAGGUUGCAGUGAGCUGAGAUUGCACCUUUGCACUCUCACUCUGGCCUGGGCAAUAGAGCAAGACUCCAUCUCAAAAAAAAAAAAAAAAGAAAAAAGAAAAUGCUUUCUUUGCACAGUUCAGUAAUGAGCUCUGCCCCGAACUCAGUAAUUUUAGCAAAGAAACAGUAGCUAAGUUAAGAAGACCGCCUAUUGAACUAAGUUGGUCUCCAAAAUGUACCUUUCUGGCAUUUAGAUGGCUACUUUGAAACCCUUUUGUAAAUGAAAUUUACAUCUAUAAAGGAAAUCGCCAUCUGUAAGGGCAUCUACACUGAGAAGAGGGUGGACUGGGUCACUAGAAACUCUUACCACUGAUCUAACAUAAAUCUUACCAUUGUUUAAGGUGCUUUUCCUUGCCAUCUUGUCUUAACCGGGCCUUUACCGACACUUUUCUUCCUUGGUUUAGGGAACCAGUGGUACAGUAUUUAGGCCCAAAGUCUCAGCUCUGUGCUUUUGAGAUAUGAAUUUUUCACCGUGUUCCACCUAAUAGCAUCCCUUUAGAAGUACAAAUUUAGGGCCGGGCGCGGUGGCUCACGCCUGUAAUCCCAGCACUUUGGGAGGCCGAG
rnacentral:lncRNA from 1 species